rnacentral:snRNA from 1 species
AUGCUCACUUCAGCAGCAUAUAUACUAAAAUUGGAAUGAUACAGAGAAGAUUAGCAUGGCCCCCGCGCAAGGAUGACAUACACAUUUGUGAAGCAUUCUGUAUUUUU